rnacentral:lncRNA from 1 species
GUAAUUUACUGGCUUCCAGUAAAUGACCGAGUAGUGAAAGCUAUGGCCAUAUUUGGUUACCCUUCAAACGAUAUAUUUGAUUAAGAUAACACAUAUUUAGCACAAUCUGUUUAAUGUUGCUUUUGGAUACACUUUAAUCCUUUGAAUUAUGACUGACUUUAUUAUAAAAUCAUUUUUACCAAGGUAAUGCUCAUAACCCUCGUCCCAUACCACCAAAAGAACCAGAAUAAGUCAGAACAAUCACCUUGAAAGCCACCAAUAUAAGACAACAAACAACGUACAAAGGCAUCAUUUACUCUUCCACCGUCUUCAGAGGCAAUAAACAGAAUCCAUACACAGUUCAGUUGUGGAUUGAAGCCAUCAGCAACACACAGCUACCAAUGGUUGAGGCUUACAUAUCUAACGCUGGAUUGUUCAUUUGGUUUAUGCCCCCAUGAAUGCCUAUCUUAUUUGCUAGUCUAUAGUCUCCUUCAGAGCAAAAAACACGAGUAUAAAAUCCUUCUCUGUUGCCUGACAAAAUCCUAACCAACAGAACAAAAAGCCUGCCACCGAGUGCCUAUCUCAAGAUGAAGCCCUGAAAUCAAGCCUAUAGAGCCACCUGAGUUUUAGAAAUGUGGCAACACAACCAUGUGAAGAAGAUUGGGUGUCUGAAGAAGUGAUGAGGAGCUUCUUGCAAAUCUUUUGUGAGGAAUUUAACCAACGAUGCAAACCUGUAAGAAAAGUGUUGUUUCUUCCUUGUCAGUCCCCCUAUGUAAUUUAGAUGAGGAUGGCAGGAGUACACAUCAUCUUAGCUGCAGUUCAUGAGACACUUUUGGAUGUCCUAACCUACAAUGAGAAGAAGAGAUACGAUGUUAAACACUACUAUGGCUUAAAAUAAUCUCUAAUCUCCCUAUAGGUGAGAUUCUCUGUAGCUACGCCUGUAUAGAUGCACAAGCAGCACAGAUUUGAGAUGCCAGGAUUUGGAAGGGCAUAAAUACAAGUACCAUCAACAUGUCUUUAACAUACAGCCUUCAGUGUUGAUACUUUGGUAUAGCUGAUGGAGAAUCAUAGAAUCAUAGAAUUUCAGGUUGGAAGGGAUCCUAAGGAUCACCUGGCCCAACCUUUCUAGGCAAUCUAGGAGGUAUCAUGCCUGGUACCACAUCGGUAUACAGCCCAAUCUCUCAUGAAACAAGCAGUGAAGAGUUCCACUGCUGUUUCUUUGCACAGUCCUGACAAUGCAUAUUCCUCUUUCAUUUUACACUGUCUUUGCACCUGACAAUAUGACAGUGGAAUUCUAGAUCUUUCAUUACCAUCCUAGAGACCAAGAUCUAAUGCACUUUAACCACACUCACAGAACCAGGCAGUUUUG